GAUGAAGAACGCAGCGAAAUGCGAUAAGUAGUGUGAAUUGCAGAAUUCAGUGAAUCAUCGAAUCUUUGAACGCACAUUGCGCCCUUUGGUAUUCCAAAGGGCAUGCCUGUUCGAGCGUCAUUUGUACCCUCAAGCUUUGCUUGGUGUUGGGCGUCUUUUUGUCUCCCCUUGCGGGAGACUCGCCUUAAAGUCAUUGGCAGCCGGCCUACUGGUUUCGGAGCGCAGCACAAGUCGCGCUCUCUUCCAGCCCCAAGGUCUAGCAUCCAACAAGCCUUUUUUUCAACUUUUGACCUCGGAUCAGGUAGGGAUACCCGCUGAACUUAAGAAUAUCAAUAAGCGGAGGA
rnacentral:misc_RNA from 1 species